rnacentral:lncRNA from 1 species
GUUUUUCCUGGUUUCGCAUAUAAGCGACUGCGUAUGUUGCAUACCAAGUGUUUAAUUUCGUUUGUAUAAAAGCGUGUGAAGAAAUGAAAUAUGAGAUUAAAUCCUGGCUACAACUUCUUUCGACUGAUAGCCAUGCGCAUGGUUUUAGUGCUCGCAAUUUUACUAGCCGAAGCGGCAGCACAAUAUCCAUAUGGAAUAUUUGCUUCCUCCAACGUAUGGGGAUUGGAAUUAUUUUGACAGGGGCGAUCGCUUUGACACAGAUAACCGCUUUGACAUGAGUGACCGCUUUGACGCGGGCGACCGCUUUGGCGACCGCUAUGACGCGGGCGACCGCUUUGACACUGACUUUGGCAACCGCUUUGACCGUGACUUCGACAACCGCGGCAACGACUUUGGCUAUUGGUGAAACACAUGAGUGUUGUGGUAGUGACAGGCACGGCGACUUGGACUAAGACGAGCAACAAACAUUAUGAACAGUAUUGUUACCACGCAGUUUUCAACGUUUCAAAGUCCCCGAAGAAUCUAAAUAUUUCGUCGUUGUUGAUUUUAAUGUUCUUGAGAAUGAUUUAAAUUUAUCAAAAUAAAUUCUGCCGAGUUUUAUUA